AACUUGUUAUAAACUAUGAGUUAUCAUCAAAAAGACUAGUUCAUUCCCCCCUCCUCACUACUGCACUUGACUAGUCUUAA
rnacentral:sRNA from 1 species